AUUCGCGGCCUGGUCACACUAAGCUAGGGCUACUUUUUAUAUCAUAAGUCGAGCGUUUAGGUAGCUCGGAUGGCCAUCGAAAGGGUAAAUUGGUGUUACAUAUAGCUUUAGAGAUCGUUUCGAAUCACAUUGAUAAUCGUUCGAAACGUUCUCCGAAGCAAAAUCAAGCAAGAGUAACGAUUUCCGCAUAGUCGAAAAUGUUUAAGUUGAAUUGUCUUACGGACAGUGAGAUGAGUACGACUAUUUGGAAAUCACAAACGAAUUGUUUUCAUGGUUGACGCGCUUGUCAAGCUACAAAACAAAAUGAAUGAUAUACAAUAUACAAUAUACAAUAUGCAAUACAAUACAAUACAAGACAAAAAAAUGUGUCUUGGAACGCAACAUUGUACAAGUCGCAAUGCAAACUGAAGUCUUAAAAGACGUGUAAAAUGUUGCAAAUUAAGCAAAUAUAUAUGCAUAUAUGGGUAACGUUUUACGCGCCUUAACCAGUCAAAAUACAAAAUAAAUUGGUAAAUUUCAUAUAACUAGUGAAAUGUUAUACGAAACUUAACAAUUGCCAAAU
rnacentral:lncRNA from 1 species